GGGAGAGGUAAUUGAGUCAUGGGGGCUGAUGUUUCCUAUGAUAUUCUUAUGAUAGUGAACAAGUCUCACGAGAUUUGAUGGGUUUUUCAGGGGUUCCUUCUUUUGCUUCUUCCCCAUUUUCCCUUACUGCCAUCAUGGAAGAAGUGCCUUUCACCUCCUGCCAUAAUUCUGAGACUUCCCAAGCCAUAUGAAACUGAACCUGUGAUCUCCACAAGUCGACGAAGGAAAAUGAUUGGAUUAUGGGGAAAGUUUCCCUCAUGCUGUUUCGUCCUUCCCAUGAGAUCUGAUGGUUUUAUAAAUGGCAGAUUUCCCUGCGCUCUCACUCCUUCUCCUGCCACCUUGUGAAUAAGGUGCCAGCUUCCCCUUCCACCAUGAUUGGUCUAUCUAUAUUGUUGAAUGUGAAACGGGAGAGUUCCCUAACCCCUGUGGAAG
rnacentral:lncRNA from 10 species